AGUAAGCCGGAUGGUCGCGUGCUAUGCACGAGGAAAGUCCGAGCUCCGCAGGGCAGGGUGCUGGGUAACACCCAGUGGAGGUGACUCCUAGGAAAGUGCAACAGAAAUAUACCGCCACGAAAGUGGUAAGGGUGGAAAGGCGAGGCAAGAGCUCACCAGCGGCCAGGCGACUGACCGGCUAUGUAAACCCCACCUGGAGCAAGGCAAAUAGGGGAGCAUAUGUGGCGGCCCGCCACGCCCCCGGGUAUGCUGCUUGAGACAGCAGGCAACUGCCGUCCUAGAUAGAUGACUAUCCAAAACAGAACUCGGCUUACAGACUUACUCAU
rnacentral:RNase_P_RNA from 1 species